rnacentral:rRNA from 1 species
GAACGAACGCUGGCGGCAUGCCUAACACAUGCAAGUCGAACGAGACCUUCGGGUCUCGUGGCGCACGGGUGCGUAACGCGUGGGAACCUGCCUUUAGGUUCGGAAUAACUCAGAGAAAUUUGAGCUAAUACCGGAUGAUGUCUUCGGACCAAAGAUUUAUCGCCUUUAGAUGGGCCCGCGUUGGAUUAGCUAGUUGGUGGGGUAAAGGCCUACCAAGGCGACGAUCCAUAGCUGGUCUGAGAGGAUGAUCAGCCACACUGGGACUGAGACACGGCCCAGACUCCUACGGGAGGCAGCAGUGGGGAAUAUUGGACAAUGGGCGAAAGCCUGAUCCAGCAAUGCCGCGUGAGUGAUGAAGGCCUUAGGGUUGUAAAGCUCUUUUACCCGAGAUGAUAAUGACAGUAUCGGGAGAAUAAGCUCCGGCUAACUCCGUG